UACAGAGGGUGCGAGCGUUAAUCGGAAUUACUGGGCGUAAAGCGUGCGUAGACGGUUAUUUAAGUCGGGUGUGAAAGCCCCGGGCUCAACCUGGGAAUUGCAUUCGAGACUGAAUAGCUAGGGUACGGUAGAGGGAAGUGGAAUUUCCGGUGUAGCGGUGAAAUGCGUAGAUAUCGGAAGGAACAUCAGUGGCGAAAGCGGCACUCUGGGCCGGAACUGACGCUGAGGAGCGAAAGCGUGGGGAGCGAACAGG
rnacentral:rRNA from 1 species